rnacentral:rRNA from 1 species
UGCAGUCGAACGGUGAAGCCAAGCUUGCUUGGUGGAUCAGUGGCGAACGGGUGAGUAACACGUGAGCAACCUGCCCUGGACUCUGGGAUAAGCGCUGGAAACGGCGUCUAAUACUGGAUAUGAGCUCUCAUCGCAAGGUGGGGGUUGGAAAGAUUUUUCGGUCUGGGAUGGGCUCGCGGCCUAUCAGCUUGUUGGUGAGGUAAUGGCUCACCAAGGCGUCGACGGGUAGCCGGCCUGAGAGGGUGACCGGCCACACUGGGACUGAGACACGGCCCAGACUCCUACGGGAGGCAGCAGUGGGGAAUAUUGCACAAUGGGCGGAAGCCUGAUGCAGCAACGCCGCGUGAGGGAUGACGGCCUUCGGGUUGUAAACCUCUUUUAGCAGGGAAGAAGCGAGAGUGACGGUACCUGCAGAAAAAGCGCCGGCUAACUACGUGCCAGCAGCCGCGGUAAUACGUAGGGCGCAAGCGUUAUCCGGAAUUAUUGGGCGUAAAGAGCUCGUAGGCGGUUUGUCGCGUCUGCUGUGAAAUCCCGAGGCUCAACCUCGGGCCUGCAGUGGGUACGGGCAGACUAGAGUGCGGUAGGGGAGAUUGGAAUUCCUGGUGUAGCGGUGGAAUGCGCAGAUAUCAGGAGGAACACCGAUGGCGAAGGCAGAUCUCUGGGCCGUAACUGACGCUGAGGAGCGAAAGGGUGGGGAGCAAACAGGCUUAGAUACCCUGGUAGUCCACCCCGUAAACGUUGGGAACUAGUUGUGGGGACCAUUCCACGGUUUCCGUGACGCAGCUAACGCAUUAAGUUCCCCGCCUGGGGAGUACGGCCGCAAGGCUAAAACUCAAAGGAAUUGACGGGGACCCGCACAAGCGGCGGAGCAUGCGGAUUAAUUCGAUGCAACGCGAAGAACCUUACCAAGGCUUGACAUACACCAGAACACCGUAGAAAUACGGGACUCUUUGGACACUGGUGAACAGGUGGUGCAUGGUUGUCGUCAGCUCGUGUCGUGAGAUGUUGGGUUAAGUCCCGCAACGAGCGCAACCCUCGUUCUAUGUUGCCAGCACGUAAUGGUGGGAACUCAUGGGAUACUGCCGGGGUCAAYUCGGAGGAAGGUGGGGAUGACGUCAAAUCAUCAUGNCCCCUUAUGUCUUGGGCUUCACGCAUGCUACAAUGGCCGGUACAAAGGGCUGCAAUACCGUGAGGUGGAGCGAAUCCCAAAAAGCCGGUCCCAGUUCGGAUUGAGGUCUGCAACUCGACCUCAUGAAGUCGGAGUCGCUAGUAAUCGCAGAUCAGCAACGCUGCGGUGAAUACGUUCCCGGGUCUUGUACACACCGCCCGUCAAGUCAUGAAAGUCGGUAACACCUGAAGCCGGUGGCCCAACCCUUGUGGAGGGAGCCGU